rnacentral:rRNA from 1 species
GACGAACGCUGGCGGCGUGCUUAACACAUGCAAGUCGAACGGUAAGGCCCUUCGGGGUACACGAGUGGCGAACGGGUGAGUAACACGUGGGUGAUCUGCCCUGCACUUCGGGAUAAGCCUGGGAAACUGGGUCUAAUACCGGAUAGGACUCCGGACUGCAUGGUCUGGGGUGGAAAGCUUUUGCGGUGUGGGAUGGGCCCGCGGCCAAUCAGCUUGUUGGUGGGGUGAUGGCCUACCAAGGCGACGACGGGUAGCCGGCCUGAGAGGGUGACCGGCCACACUGGGACCGAGAUACGGCCCAGACUCCUACGGGAGGCAGCAGUGGGGAAUAUUGCACAAUGGGCGCAAGCCUGAUGCAGCGACGCCGCGUGAGGGAUGACGGCCUUCGGGUUGUAAACCUCUUUCAGCAUCGACGAAGCGAAAGUGACGGUAGGUGCAGAAGAAGGACCGGCCAACUACGUGCCAGCCGCCGCAGUAA